rnacentral:lncRNA from 1 species
AUUGUUUAUGCGGCAGUGCAAUGCAGCUGAAAAAGGGAAGCCCCUUUUUAUUAGUAAGGUAUAGGUUGGUUGGGGAAAACUCCAAAACUAGGGUUCCAAAAAGCUUACCUUAUAUUAUAGAAAAGUUUGAGAAAGGGGCACCCCUACUAUACCCCUAAACUACAAGCUAGCGCGCAACGGCUGAAAAGCCGUUGUUGCUUGCUGCUUGCAGGCUCGAAAAUCUCUCUUUCGCCUCUCCUCCCUGUCUCAAUUCUGAUUGAUUAGCUUCUUCCUUCGCGCAAGCUACGGUCUAACGACCCCCUUGUU